GCUACAGCUCAGAUUCAGCCCCUAGCCUGGGAACCUCCAUAGGCUGCGGGUGUGGCCAUAAAAAGACAAAAAAUAAAACGAAAUAAAACCACCACUCCAAACAAAGUACAGAACAUUUCUAUCAUCUCAGAAAUUUCUCUUGCUCCCCCUUUCCCGUUACUUCACCCCUUGCCCAGCCCACACACCCGAGGCAACCACUUUCUGAUAUUUAUUACCAUAGAUUCGUUCUGCUCAUUUUUGGAUUCAUACAAAUAUAAAUGCACCGUGUGGACUUUUUUGUGCCUGGCUAUUUUUAAUCAACACAAUCUUCUGGACAGUAUUCUGUGUUGUUGUGUGUCCGUUCCUUUCGAUUGAGUAUAAAUAUACCACAAUUUAUUUAUCCAUUCUCUUGUUGACAGACGUUUGGAUUGUUUCCAGUUUUAGGCUAUUUUAAGGUGGCUAUGAAUAUUCAUGGUCUGUCUUUUGGGGACGUCAGUGUUCAUUUCUCUUGGGUCAAUACCUAAAAGUGGAAUUGUCGAGGAAUAGGGGCUUUAAUGGCCUAAACUCACUUAGGAUGAAGCCCCAACCCUGCACGGCCCUGAUCACGUCUCUGGAGUUGUCAUUGCACUGCCCCCUUCUCAUCACCCUGACUGCAGCCCCUCCGUUCACGCUCUUGCCUCUGCCGGGUGUGCACUUUCUUCCUCCUUUCCAGCUUAUCCAGCAACAGCUGCCCGCCUUCCCCAUUAAGGCACAUCCUUUAUUGUAGGCACAGAGCCUUCUUCAUGCCUCGGCACAUACCCAGACGGUGAUUUUAUUUCAUUUAUUUUUUUUUUAAUGAUUUUUAUUUUUUCCAUUAUCGUUGGUUUACAGUGUUCGGUCAAUUUUCUGCUGUACCACAGAGUGACCCCGUCUCUCUCUCUCUCUCUCUCUCUCUCACACACACACACACACACACACACACACACACACACGCGUUCUUUUAAGACUGUGAUUUUAUAUUCAUCAACAUGAUUACAGCUGACACUUGGGCAACUGCGGGUUAGGAGUGCUGACCUUCUGCACAGUAAAAAUCCACAUAUAACUUAUAGCCGGCCUUCUGUAUCAGCAGUUCCACGUCUGCAGAUUCAACCACCCCUGAUGGUGUAGUGCUGUAGUAAUUGAAAAAAAUUGGAAAAAAAAAAAACCCAUGUGUAAGUAGAACUGCACAGUUUACACCCCUGUUGUUGAAGGGUUGUAUUUGCUGAAUGUUUGCUUCUCAGCAGCAAAGCUCCACGAGAGCAGGUUAUCUGUCUGUUCCACUCACACAGGCCUGGUCUAGGUUCUGGCACAUACUGAGCGUUUGAUAAGUUACCGUUGGGUGAAUGAAUAAUGGUGCUGUUUCUCUCCCACCACAGAUUCUGCUCUCCACUUUAGUAAAACUCCUUUUGGCCACCCAGAGGAGAAACCCUUGUCCUUUUCAUGAGUUUCUCCAUCACUUGGACGCAGCUGGAGGGAGAAAGACCAAGGCAAUCAGUUAUGUUGGGCUGCCUGGCUUCCAGGAAAGAGAAAAGCUUGAAUUUCAAUCUUAAUAGUUUUUGUCUUAAGCAGACCAUUAUACAAACAAAAUUCUUGGUAAAGGGGCUUCAGAUCCAAAUAAGACAAUGAGGCAGUGCAGUUAGCAAGUAUUCCACCCUAACCUAGAUCUAAGGGGACUUGCCUCUGGUUUUCUUUGUUUACUCAAGUUUUUCUUCUAGAGGACAAAGUACUGGGGGCAUUCUGAAGACAGCACUGAUUUUCUUGGAAAGCAGAAAUUUUUCUUAGUAAGGGAAUGAAGUUGUUCCCAAAGAAAUGUUUGAGGAUAAAAUGCUACGCAGUGAAAUUUGCCUGUGGAUUGAAAAGUGCCUAGUGAGGCCUUUUGACCAGUUGACUUGCCAGAGCAGAGACCUGACGAGGUGGGGAAGCUCUUCUACCUGAUGUGCUGUUACUGUGAGCGGGCGAUUCAGGGAGGUGUUUAGCUACACACCCCGCUCCUCCUCCAAUCCCCCAGUAGGCACAGGAAUGAAAGGGAUUUCAGAAUCUUGCAUACCUUCGCCCGACUCCACCUUUUUCCUGGAUGAUUCCCUUCCGGGUUGAUUUCUUGUUUGCAGAGAAUGACAACAAUGAGCGGACGGUGUGUGGAUACAGUUUCUUCUCUGUUUUGCCUUUGCAAAAGGAAUGCAAAAAAUGCGAUCCGAGAGGAGGCGUGUAGUCCAAAAGGACUAUAGCUGUUCAAGAAAACAGCUAGAAUUUUAUCACCACCAGAUUACUCUUACUACCAUCAGGAAAUGAAAUUAUUUUAGGAAUCAGCAAACAUGUCAUAUAGAAGGAAUGGAUUCUGCUCUCCUGUCUUUAAAUAGGGAUGGAUGAUUCUUCACUUGAAGAUUUGAGGACGUCAAAGGUGAUAAUAUACAUCAGAAAGUCCACUGGAAUAUUUAUUCAGAAACUUCAAAGUGUUCAUGCCCUUCCCACUCCUAGAUAUGUGUUCCGAAGAAUUAAUCACAGACAAGGGUCUAUUGCAAGAAAGGUCACUGUUGAAUUAUUUACAGUAGGGAGAACUUGGAAAUGGUCUAAAUGUUUCACAAAGAGAGAAUGGCUACAUAAAUUCCGGGGCCUGCUUAUCAGAAAUAUUAUGGUAUUACAAAAUGUUUGCAAAGUCCAGUUAAUAAGAUAGGAAAAAAAAUCGCCUUGUGAAAGCAGUACCUAGAAUAAGGCCUGAGAUAUUGUAGGCACUCUAAAUAUUUGUUCAUUCAAUACAUGGAUAGAAAAAAAUGAUUUGAAAUUCUGCCAGAGAAAUGGAGGUUAACAUUAGAAAAAGCAAACAAAAAAACUGAACAUAAGUAGGGUUAACACUUUUAGAAAGGCAUUUUGCAGAGGGAAAGAAGAUGAAAGCGAUUCUCCCCUCUUCCCCCAAAAAACAACAUAAAAUCUGACCUUGAAUGCAGGCCAAUGGAAAAACUCUCUCCCAGGACAUUUUAGAUAGAAACAGAAUUCAUUUGCAAUGACAGGGGGUGCUUUCCUCUAAGAGGAGAAUUUAUUAACGUAAUAGUUCUUGAGCACUUUUUUGGUGUGUGUGCUAAAAAUUUUGCUGAGAUGUCAGUUUGAGAAACUUUUCAAAUUUAAAACAGUUUUGUUCCUUCACUGCUUUGUUAGGUGAAUAUUUGGAAAUAUUUCUGGCUCAUCAAACAGUCUUAAUUCCAGAGAGACAUCCAGACAGAACAUCUGCCAUAUGACAUCAGACUGAACGCAGCCAAUCGGAUGGGUGAAAGGCAGAAAUUACAGAAAAGUCACGGUCGGGACUCAAGUAUUCUUGCUAGCCCCGGCAACCACAAGUCUGUUUUCGAUGUUUUGGCUGAUGUCAUCGCAGCCGCCUAGAAGAACGGUUCUCUGCAGUGAUGGACGUUCUGUGAUGUCCCUGCGAUUACGGAAGCUGGCAAGGAAGUCUUCUCUCAGCACUGACCACCGGAAGCUACAAAGGAGAUUCAUUUUAAGCUUUCUGGGAAAGGAGCUGCUUGGUGAACCCCAGUUUUUUCUCUUAAUUUACUAUACCAAAGAAGUAUGUCUUCAGCCUACAGCAAGAGAAUGUUCUACAACUUCAAGAGCCUAAAUAAACAAGGCUGGUGUAGAAGAGAGAGAGAGGGUCCUACUUGGUGGGUACUUGACUGGCGAAGCAUCUGUGCCCAAAUGGCAGCUCUCUACAUACCGCAUAGGCUGGCGACUGGACUAUUUUUCAAGUAAUCAGACCUGAUCUGAGGAAGCUUUGCAAGUUCCCACUUUCUGUAUCUUAGGUCAGCAUUCCCCUGCCUGGCCCGUAGGAUUCCUGCCAUUGGAAUGGAAGCAGGAUAUGUUUGUUUUCUGUGGCUGCUGCAACAAAUUACCACAAACUGGAUGGCUUAAAACAGCAGAAGUUAAUUUUCGCACCGUUCUUUGGGCCAGCAGUCUAAAACCAGGGUGUCGGGAGGGUUGGGUUAGAAGUCCCAUCUGAACGACACUGAGUAGGGAGGGUCAGCUGCUGCAAAUAAGAGCAAUACUGCUCCCAGAAGGAGGAGAACAGGUGCAGCUGGGCAGCCUCAAGCAUCAGACCGGGAGAGCAGGGACAAAGGCAGGGAGUUCAGCUUACUCGUGCUGAGUCGUGGCGUGGCUGGUGAGGCACCCAAGUGCUAAUGCCCCAUCUAUUAAAUUUGGCAGCCAGUGCAUCAUUUUUAACCUCAGUGAGAUCACUUUCAGUAGCGCGUGAGGCAGGAGGACUGUUGAAGGCAUUGAAGAAUGAACGGGUACAGAGGACGCCGAGGUGGUGGUGGUCAGAAGCCAAAGAGAAUGAGGGUUUCUGCAGAGGACGGUGUUGCUUGUGCAGCCUUUCAGGGCCCAUGGCAGUGCCCUAAAGCAGUAGUUCUCCAAGGCAGGUCCCCAAACCAGCAGCAGCAGGCACCUGGGCACUUACUGGAAAGCAAAUUUGGGGGACCUACCCGAGACUUAGCUGGAUCAACAAACACAGGAUGGAGCCCUGAAAUCUGUGUUUAACAAGCUCCCCAGGGGAUUUUGAUACAGGCUGAUGUCUGAGAAGCAGGCUCCCGGAGCCUGGGGAAAGAACCUUUGCUAGAGCUGGUUGUGCCAUCUGGCUCGGGGAGGCCUCUGUGCGUUUUGUGAACAUGUCGAGCCCAGCUGGACUUGCUAGAAGCAGAGUCUGGUUUGGGGUGGAGGUGGGGGUGUUGGGCCCAAGGACACGUAUUUCUGUAAAGCAAGCAAAUGAGGCAGGAUCCCUGCUGCUUGAGUAUGAAAUACACCAGUUUUGAUCUUUCAAGCAGAUCUGCAAUUUGACAUUUUUCCACUCUCUGAGCAACACAGUGCCGAAAGGCUCUCUUAAAGGACAAGCCUGGUGUUUGGCUGGAGCUGUCACAGAGCGGCAUUUCUCACAGUAUUUGCAGAGCCCGUGGGAAAUGUUAACCAGAAACUCAGUCUGCUCUUUGACUUCAGUCUUUACGGUUGAAAACCUCUCUAAAAUGGAUCUUUUUGUCACUUGAGAGACUAGGAUAUAUCCAAAGUAGAAAAAUUGUAAAAGAUUUAUUAUCUUUACAAAGCAGAGUGGCUUUGAGAUGAACCCUCUAAUAGAGUCCCUCUUACUCACAUGUGCUCUGAUUUGCUUUGUUGGGAGGAAAAGACUCUGGGAUGGAGGGAGCUCCGCUGGGUGCUGGCACUUGCUGAUGCCCUUCAACCUGCAUGGUCUGUGGCACACUGGGUGUCUGUUGGAUUUCCCUUUAAUGGCUACAAUGCAAGUUUUUUUUUUUUUUUUUUUUUUUUUUUGUCUUUUUGGGGCCACACCCGCGGCAUAUGGAGUUUCCAGACUAGGAGUCGAAUCAGAGCUGUAGCUGCCGGCCUACACCACAGCCAUAGCAAUGUGGGAUCGCUAACCCACUGAGCAGGGUCAGAGAUCGAACCCGCGUCCUCAUGGAUACUAGUCGGGUCGUUAAUCACUAAACCUUGAUGGGAACUCCCUUUUAAUGGCUAUAACGAAAGUCACCUGUCCAGUGGGGCAGAUGGCAGGAAGGAUGGCAUGAUAUAAACUCAGCGAGGAUAGGGCUGGCUAGCUCUUGCUUUUCCCUCUAAAACUUAGAAUUAUAAUAGCACCCAAUAAACAUGCUGAAUGAAUGAAAGAACAUGGUAAUUGUAAUGGAAUUUUGGAUCAUUUUGGAACCUACAGGUAUCAGGACCAUGAUUCUGAGCAUUAAUUUUCACCAUCCGGGUCCAUAAAUACAGCAUGUGUAGGCAGGACUGGCUACAUAAUUUGGGAGAGCAGUUAAAAUUAAAAAUGCAGGACCCCUUGGUCAAAAAUUAAGAACUUUGAGAUGGUGACAGUAGAGCAUUAAACCAAGUGUGGGGUCUUUCUAGGUGUGGGGUCCUGUGUUCCUGCACACAUACCCCGAAAUCAGACCUAUAGGUAGGAGAUAGGAUGAAAUCUUACUAAUCCUGGGAACUUAAACUUUUUGCAGAAAUCCUUGAAAUGACCUUUUAAGAUACUUACCUUCUCCUUUUCUAUGAAAGAGCAGGAUAAUAUCAAAGUGAAGGUGUUGAUGGUGAGGACUGGAGUAUCUCAAUUCUCUUUCACUUUGGAAUGUGUCCGUCUUUGCCAUGUUGCUCUCCGGUGCCUCCCGCUGGAGAGAUCAGAGUGUAUUUCCCAACCGCAUGUAAGCCUCAGCAUCUGACUUUUGGGGCAAUGGGAUGUUAGGGGCCAUGACGUGAGCAGAGACCUUAAAUGCGCUUCUGUAGUUGGGCUUGGCCCCUUGAGCUUCUGUUUUUACCAUGAGAAUAACUGUCCCAGGUAGCUGCUAGUCCAAGGAAAAUGAGAGAAGUGUGCAGUAGACCUGAUCCAAUCUGUAGCCCAAUGCAGAGCUGCCCCCACUGCCCCACAGACCUGUGAGGAAGAAAAGGAAAUGCGUUUGGAGUUCUCGCCUUGGCGCAGUAGGUUACAAAUCCAACCGCAGUGGCUCAGGUCGUGUAGGGGGUACAGGUUUGACCCUGGCCUGGCACAGUGGAUUAAAGGAUCCAGUGUCUCCAUGGCUUUGUCAUGUAGGUCAUAGCUGCAGCUUGGACUAUAUCCCUGCCCUGGGAACCUCUGUAUGCUGCAUAUGUGGCCAUGAAAAAAAUAAAUAAAUGCUUUUGGUAAACCGUGACUUUGGAGUCUUUUGUUACACAGCAUGCAAAUAGCAGAAAUCUGACUAAUAAAGUAUCCUUAAGAUGAAUCCUAGUACACAGAUUUUUUUCUGGCCUCACCUGGGGCAUAUGGACGUUCCCAGGCCAAGGAUCCAACCUGUGUCACUGCAGUGAAAAUGCUGGAUCCUUAACUCACUGAGCCACCAGGGAACUCCAUAAAUAGAUAGUUUACUGCCUUUCUAAAACUUUGGGCAUGAUGAGAAUGAUAAAGGGGAGGCUAGAGAAGGAAUCUAAAUCAAUGUUGAACACUUGAUGUACCACCCUGAUGCUCAACUCAAGCCAGCAAGUACUGAAAAAAGGACUAAACUGUGCUAAACUGCCUAUCAUUAGAGAUCUUAUUCCAGUUUGCUUGUUUUUUUUUUUUUUUUUUUAAGAGAUUACAUGUACUAUAUAGUGGUUUCCUGAAGCAGCAUCAGGAGGAAGAGUGGUCGUUUUUAGGGAUGCUGGUCCUGUGCUUUGGCAAAGGUGGACGCAGUCAUCAGCCUCAGCAGCAGAAUUUUCGCAGUAUUUAACAGCCGGUAUGGAAAGGGCUCGGACCCGUCAGGGAGAAGCCCUGCCUAGACCCAGCUUCAGAGCCGGUGAGCUGUGAUCAGCUCUUCAGCAAGGGGAUGUGGGGAUGGGGGCUGUUUUCUAAGAAAUGCAGUAAAAGUCCUGAGCCUAUGCUCUGAGCCAGUGGCAUUGAGUUGGACUAACUCGGAAUAUGUGACUGAAAAGUAAAAAGGAGACUUUCACUGUGGCAGAUGGAAUAAUAGUCCCAAUACCACUCCAAAGCGGUUUAUACCCUCAUCCCGAGAAACUACAAUUGGUUCAAUGGCAAAGAGGAAUUAAGACUGCCGAUCAGCUGACCUUAAACGAGGGAGAUUAUCCAGGUAAACCCAAUAGAAUCACUGGCAUCCUUAAAAGCAGAAAAAGAGGGCAGAAUAGGGACAACCAGAGAUGGUAGCAUGAGAAGUACUUUGUCUGGUGUUGCUGGCUUUGAAGGCGGAGGACUGAGGCCACGGGCCGUGGAGUGUGAGCAGGCUCUAGCCACCGGAAAAGCCGUUGAAACAGAUUCUCCCCCGGGGCUCCGGAAGCACAGAGCCCUGCUGACACCUUGUCUUUAGCCUGGUAAGACCUAUUUUUGAUUUCCGACCUCUAGAAGUAAGAUAAUAAAUUUGUAUGUUUAAGCCACUAUAUUUAUGAUAAUUUGUUACAGCAGGAUAGAAAACGAAUAUAUUCCCCAACAGGGAACCUUUAGAGCGCUCUUACUAAAACAAGGGGGGAAAUACUGGGAAAGCAAACAAAUAGACCAGAACAGAUGGAUCCUGUAGACUAGAUCCCUGGGAUGUCUUUUCUCUGGCUCCCUGGGUAUUCGCCCGGGGGAGACAGAAUGGACUUUACAGAGCGUUGUCCACGGUCGUGUGCACGUGUUCCACGAAGCCAGAGCUGGCAGCACCUGCCAGCAAGGGCAGGAAAGCCACCUGCGAGUGUUGCUCUGAAGGUCGUCCACACAGACCUGAAGCUGGGUCCUUCCCGCGCAAGCUGAGUAACCCUAGGCAAGGUACUUGGCCUCUCUGUGCCUCAGUAAAAAAGAUGAUAAAUAUCUAUCUGAUGGAGUUUUUAUGAGAUUUAAUGAUGUUCAUACAUGCAGUUAAGAAUCAUGGCUGGCAUGUGCUUAACGAUGGAUAACUCUUAACAGCUGCUGGUAACGGUUCUAGUAGUACUACUGUAUGAUACACGUGGCGAUUAGUAACCCUAAAUCUGGAGCCAGACUACUCGGGGUCGAAGCGAACUCUCACUUACACCUCUGCUUGGGCGAGUUAUUUAACGUUACGAGGCCUAGAUUUUUCCCGUGUAAAUGGGGAUGUUAAAGGCAUUCACAGUUGUGAUGAGGAUUCAUCAGUUAAUACAUCAAAGUCCCAGAGCCAUGUCUGACCGGUCCAAUAAAGUUCACCUGUCAUUAGCAUCAUCAUCAGUGCUGUGGGUCCACCAUCACUCUGGACGACUAAUAACUAAGCAGCCACCACCUACGCAUCUGGUUACUGCUCACGUGACCAUCAAGACCCAUCAGGUUGGGAAGAACCAAAGUUCCCCAACGAUGGGCGUCCCAGGGAGCAACACCAUUUUUCUUU